CAGGACAUGAACUCACAUUUCCCAUACUGCUGAUUCAGAGUGGGGACACUACUAACUUACCAAAGUGUGUCCCCAAUAUAGACAAACAAUCACCCACAAAAAACACUUAAGACAAACAAAGGUGACCGGGAGAAAGAGAAGUUUGGGUUAUACUUAAAGAUCUACAAACCAUGCUGCUCAGAACACCUAUAGACUUAAUAAACCGGAGACUCUUAUGGUCUCAAAAACCUGUAUCUACCUGAGAUACCCUGUAUCUAUCUUAGAUACUAACCUGGGUUACCAAAACCCUAUAAUAAACCGGAGACCUCUUAUGGUCUCAAAAACCUGUAUCUAUCUUAGAUACUAACCUGGGUUACCAAGAACCCCUAUAUAUAUUUAGACCAAAUGUCUAAUAAACCGGAGACCUCUUAUAGUCUCAAUAUAACUAGAGUCCUUACACCUUUCCUAUCUACUGGAUACAGUCUUACUGAACCAAAGGGGGUCAUAGACAAUCAGCGUCAAAUAAGACACAAAAAGGCUACUCACCGCAAUGGUUUUGCUGAUCCAACUUCUAUCCCACUUCUAGACACCAAGCUGAAAGGGUUAAUGUUGUAAUGGACUCUAAUCCCCUCGGUUCUCGAUCCCUCGGUCACCAUAAUCAACGUUGAUGGAGGAUCAUUUGUAAGCAAUAACACACGGACAACAGCUUUAC